GACAGAGGUGGCAAGCGUUGUUCGGAUUUACUGGGCUUAAAGGGCGUGUAGGCGUCCUGAUAAGUCAGAUGUGGAAGCCUUGGGCUCAACCCAAGAAGUGCAUUUGAUACUGUCAGGAUUGAGUCGUUCAUGGGAGGGCGGAAUUCCUGGUGUAGCGGUGAAAUGCGUAGAUAUCAGGAGGAAGGCCGGUGGCGAAGGUGGCCCUCUAGGAAAUGACUGACGCUGAGGCGCGAAAGCGUGGGUAGCAAACAGG
rnacentral:rRNA from 1 species